rnacentral:rRNA from 1 species
UAGGGAAUCUUCCACAAUGGGCGCAAGCCUGAUGGAGCAACACCGCGUGAGUGAAGAAGGGUUUCGGCUCGUAAAGCUCUGUUGUUGGAGAAGAACGUAUCUGAGAGUAACUGUUCAGGUAGUGACGGUAUCCAACCAGAAAGUCACGGCUAACUACGUGCCAGCAGCCGCGGUAAUACGUAGGUGGCAAGCGUUAUCCGGAUUUAUUGGGCGUAAAGCGAGCGCAGGCGGUUGCUUAGGUCUGAUGUGAAAGCCCACGGCUCAACCGUGGAGGGUCAUUGGAAACUGUUAAACUUGAGUGCAGGAGAGAAAAGUGGAAUUCCUAGUGUAGCGGUGAAAUGCGUAGAGAUUAGGAGGAACACCAGUGGCGAAGGCGGCUUUUUGGCCUGUAACUGACACUGAGGCGCGAAAGCGUGGGGAGCAAACAGGAUUAGAUACCCUGGUAGUCCACGCCGUAAACGAUGAGUGCUAAGUGUUGGUCUCAUAAGAGAUCAGUGCUGCAGCUAACGCAUUAAGCACUCCGCCUGGGGAGUACGACCGCAAGGUUG